rnacentral:rRNA from 1 species
GAUGAACGCUAGCGGCAGGCUUAAUACAUGCAAGUCGAGGGGCAGCGCGGGUAGCAAUACCUGGCGGCGACCGGCAAACGGGUGCGGAACACGUACGCAACCUUCCCAUAACUGGUGAAUAGCCCUCCGAAAGGAGGAUUAAUACACCGUAACAUAACGAAGAGGCAUCUUUUUGUUAUUAUAGUAGCAAUACGGUUUUGGAUGGGCGUGCGCCUGAUUAGGAAGUUGGCGGGGUAACGGCCCACCAAGCCUGCGAUCAGUAACUGGUGUGGGAGCACGACCAGUCACACGGGCACUGAGACACGGGCCCGACUCCUACGGGAGGCAGCAGUAAGGAAUAUUGGUCAAUGGACGAAAGUCUGAACCAGCCAUGCCGCGUGAAGGAUUAAGGCCCUCUGGGUUGUAAACUUCUUUUAUCUGGGACGAAAAAAGGGCAUUCUUGCUCACUUGACGGUACCAGAGGAAUAAGCACCGGCUAACUCCGUGCCAGCAGCCGCAGUAA